UAACUAAACAGGAGUUGGUAUCUACCAAAAUAGUAGGAUUCCAUUGGUUUAGCAGUGCACUAUCCUUUUAGAUAUAAAAGGCCUAGAUUAUUGUUAUGAUGUUGCAUUAACGUGCUAAAUUUUCCAUCCAGUUAGUAGUUAUGUUCAAUAGUUAUAGGCAUCUGUCCAAAUACUCUAUGCUUUACUUCCAUCUUUCUGUUUGUCAUUUAUGAAGCCAAGAUAUGGUGCUCUGAGAAAUGCUAUUGUUUUUGCACCUGAACUUCUUAGACUGAUCUAGGACAACCAUAAAGGCUGAAGGUCUUUGAUGGUAAUGAGCUUUAGUGGAAUAUUGAAUGUUAUGUCUUGUUUAAAAAACUAACAUACAGUUUUUUCCAAUGUUUUAGGAAAUAAAUGGAUAAUAAGAGGUAUUAUAUAUUUGCUUUGUUCAAAAACAUCGCAUCAAUAUCUUGGCCAAGUAUUUACUGGUUUUGUAUAAGUCUAAUGACCAAAUCACAUCACAUCUAUUGGCUAGUGGAGUUAAAUGAAUUGACAUAACUUUUUCUUCUUUUUUGUGAGAAACAAUACUGAAGAGAAUGAAAACUUUAACUUCUAAUAAACUAGGCUUGCUAUAUGCAGGUUUUUAAAGAACAACUUUUAUAUGAUCUGAGCUAUUGAGUUAAAUAAUUUAAAUCAUAACCCGCUAACUUAUUUAUGGCUGAACUUGUAAGAACAAGACAUUCGAGUUGAAGUAGAUCAUCUUUAUGAGUUUAAGACCAAACAUAAAUGUGUUUUUUUGAGUUAAUCUGAAAUUAUUAGUAUGUAAUGGAAAAGCAAACCGACAAACUUGAUUAACAACCAUUGAAAUUUAGGUUCUUGUUAAGUCCUAAAUUUUAUACUAUUAAUAACAGACUUGCAAACCUUGCUUAAAACUAUCCUAUGCAUGACUUAGCUACCGAUAAAUACUGACUUCUUAUACAAGUCAGUUAUUUAGAGAGAACCCAGUAUAAGCUCUUUCAGAUCGAGACUUAAUAUUCAUACACUUAACUUUGAAUGCACUUUGGAUUGAGUCACCUGUCCUUUUUAUUGAGCUUUUGAACUGUAACCUAAAUACCUUUUCAUGUUUCUUUUGCCCUGAUAAUGCAGUCAUCCCGGAUGUUUUUUUUGUUGGAUUCGUUGUAUUGUCAUCAUUGCUCUUUAAUUGGGGUUUAUUAAUAAUUUCAUUGUUAUCUUUAAAAUUUCCAAGACAACAUGAAUUGAAUUUUAUUUUAUUUUUUCUCUUUCACCGAUUUAUUAUUAUAUAAAACCAAAAAUCCUUAAUCGAGGCAUUUAUAAUUAAGGUUGCUAUCAGAUCCCAAUCGAUAAUUGUGACCACAUAUUUAACUAAAGAAUAUUGAAAUCCAACUAAAACUUCCUCCAAAAAUUUUGAUAAACCUUAGCUAUAAAAUAUUACCAAAAUCUCCUGAUAAAAGGAAUAGUUAUAUAUCAAGAACUCUAUUUAAGUUCCAUACCCUAUUAAGAGUCAAAGUUAAUGCUCUUAAUAUUUGAUGCACUUUGAACUGAAUCAGGUUGCUGAGCAUCUGUCAUAGAACUGGGCAUCUACAUUGUGAGCUGCAUUUUCUUUUUCCGGUACUUUUGUCAUGAGAUGUGCCUUGUUGGAUUUUCGUGGUUAUAUUUUUCAUCGUUCUUCUCUCUAACUUUGGCUUCAACUUGUUACAUUUCUGAGGAAAGUUAAAAAUUGAGUAAACAGUUGUUUGGCAUUUUCUCUGAACAAAAUAUCAAUGGUGCUAAACAGAAAUUAAUGAUACAUGAAAAAUGUUAUCUGUUCUUUGAUGCAUUAUUUGGCAGUAAUGUAUUCAAGAUUCCUGCUUGAUACAGGGCUAUAAAUGAACUACCUUUCCCUAACAAAAAAAGAAGAAGAUAUUGUUGUUCUCCCCCAAGGGCAGGGCCAGAUAAUGAUGAAUGCCCGCUUAUGACAUAGUGCAGAAAAAUCUGCAUAAUGUACUUUUAGAGGAUGUUGAUGGAUCCAAGGAGUUUCAUUUGGAGUAGGAGUUCAUCUGGUUUCAGUACCUUGAAGGCUUGUAAGUAAAUCCUCUUCACCCAUUAGCUUUAGAGGUACUUUGAGGAGACCGAUAACUAAUGAAAUGAGUUCAUUGUAGAUGCCAGGAGAAGUUGGCAUUCUCUUGGAGAAUUUGGGGCAAUUUUUGCAUGCUAACAUGAUACUUAAAUAUUUCUCAUGUUUUGAGAAUUUACUUUUCUACAGUGGGGGACAUGUUGCAAUUUUCUUGAAUUCUCUUAAGGAAUCCUACAACAUGAAAAGUGGAAGAACAUGUAAAACUUUUGACCCUUACUAAUGAGUUCAUAAUUAUUAUUUUACUUGGAGCAUAGGAUUUUCUUCUCGAAAAAUGGAUAACUUUUCUAUGUGAAGAAAUCACUUGUUGGAUCAUUGAAGCAUUUGCUCCUUGGAUGUAGGGGUGCAAUUGAGCUGGGCUUGGUUGAGCUUGGUUUUGAUCAAGUUUGGUUUAAAAUUAAUUUUGAGCUUGAAUUCCAAGAUCAAGCAUGAUUUGUCCAUUAUUUCUAUCUCAAUUCGAGCUUAAUUUAGAAUCAAGCUAAGCGGGAGCCUACUUAAUCAGCUUGAUAAUCCAAAUCAAACUGAAAUCAACUCGAGAUUAAAUCAAGCUUGGUUCAAGAUUAAAUGAAACCAUGAUUCUUGUUUUCAAGUUUUGGUCAAAGUUUGUAGGAGGUCUAAGUUAACAUUUUAUCGAUCCAUAUAAUAAAAAAACACCAAUUAGACUUUAAUCAAUGAUUUAUUAUAUAUGAAAUAUGUAAUAUAUAUAAUUUAGAUAUAUUUGACCCUUAUCCAAUGGAGCUUGAUUGAGCUAGGUUUAUGACGCAGACGGGGAUGAGAUGGUUGCUAAAAUUUGGAGAUGAUGGCGGCUGAUUUUCUCUCUCUUUUUUUUCAAUGGCGGCUAGGGUAUGCUAGGGUUUUCCUUGCAGAUGGUGGAAGAAGAUGAUGGGAUGAAGGCUAAUUGGGGUUCACUUGGGUUCAAUUGGGUGUAGAUUGACUCAACUGUAUGCAAAAAUUGUUGAUGGAUUGUGGACGCAAUAGGAAGUGGGCUUGGACUCGUUGUAGGAUUGGGUUAGGCUGUGAAGGACUUAUGGUUGGCUAGGGAUUAGAAGUCCUGAUAAAAUUGGGACUCUAGGGUUGGCAUAAGAAAGCAAUAUGGUGUGAGAGAAAAUACUAAGAUGGUAUGAGAAAAAGGAGUUCUUCUCUUACUAGGACUCUUAAUUAAGGUAACGUGAGAUUGAAAGUUGGCAGGAUAAGAAAAGGAUAACUAAAGAGGAUGGGUGGAAGAGUUUCACCUCCACUCAAACUCUUCAAAGGUUGGCGUGAAGAAGGAGGAGUUUCAACUUCACCAACUUCUUCCAAAGCUUGGCGUCUCACCAAGAAAAGAGGAUGGAGCGUCGCACUCCAAGAAAAAAGAGAAUCACCCGCAAUUUUUUCUUCUAAACUCAAAUCAAUCUAUCUCUAAAUUUUAUUCUUCAACCUUCUCUUUAUAUAGAGUAAGAGGUUACAAAAAUAAGGACUCUUAAAACUAGAAUUUUAGGACUCCAACUAAACAUGGACUCUUUUAAAUCAAAUCAAUCAUUUAAAGAAAUCAACUGACGAAAUCAACUAAACCAACUAAGACUUCCAGAUAACUAGGACUCUUUAAAGACAUAUGGACUAAGAGUCCAAAUCAGCCAAGACUCUUCAAACAGCACGUGGAAUCAUCACACAAGACUCCAAAUAAUUUGGGACUCCUUAGCUUGCGCACGCCCAUGAAAGGAAGCUUCAUGCAGCCUUGCACACGCCCCAUAAAGGAAUUCACGCACGCCUUAGAUCCCUUCCUAAAUUCAGACUUUGUUGGAACAAGUCAACAACCAAACCACUAAGCAAAACAAUUGAGGACUCUUUCUAACUUUAGACUGAAAAUUCUGAACUCAAUGUAACAUUAGACACGACAAAUGUUGGACCCAAACUCCUAAACUUAAAACUCCUAAUCAAUUAGGACUCUCUAAUGCCAUUAGGACUCAAUUAAAUUAGGCGUUGGAACACUAGAACCCAAUGUAAUUAGGUGCAGAAAAUCUUGGACCCAAUGUGUUUUGGUGCUGGAACUCUUGGACCCAAUGUAUUUUGGAGCACACCCAAAGGACUCAAAUCUACGCACGC
rnacentral:lncRNA from 1 species